rnacentral:rRNA from 1 species
GGAGCAGGCGGCACUAAGGGUCUGUGGUGAAAGAUCGAAGCUUAACUUCGGUAAGCCAUGGAAACCGUAGAGCUAGAGUGUGUGAGAGGAUCGUGGAAUUCCAUGUGUAGCGGUGAAAUGCGUAGAUAUAUGGAGGAACACCAGUGGCGAAGGCGACGAUCUGGCGCAUAACUGACGCUCAGUCCCGAAAGCGUGGGGAGCAAAUA